GACGAACGCUGGCGGCGUGCUUAACACAUGCAAGUCGAACGGAAAGGCCCUGCUUUUGUGGGGUGCUCGAGUGGCGAACGGGUGAGUAACACGUGAGUAACCUGCCCUUGACUUUGGGAUAACUUCAGGAAACUGGGGCUAAUACCGGAUAGGAGCUCCUGCUGCAUGGUGGGGGUUGGAAAGUUUGGGCGGUUGGGGAUGGACUCGCGGCUUAUCAGCUUGUUGGUGGGGUAGUGGCUUACCAAGGCUUUGACGGGUAGCCGGCCUGGGAGGGUGACCGGCCACAUGGGGACUGAGAGACGGCCCAGACUGCUACGGGAGGCAGCAGUGGGGAAUAUUGCACAAUGGGCGGAAGCCUGAUGCAGCAACACCGCGUGCGGGAUGACGGCCUUCGGGUUGUAAACCGCUUUCGCCUGUGACGAAGCGUGAGUGACGGUAAUGGGUAAAGAAGCACCGGCUAACUACGUG
rnacentral:rRNA from 1 species